rnacentral:rRNA from 1 species
UAUUGAGUGCAUGGAAUAAUGGAAUACGACCUCGGUUCUAUUUUGUUGGUUUUCAGAACUCCGAGGUAAUGAUUAAUAGGGAUAACUGGGGGCAUUCGUAUUGCGACGUUAGAGGUGAAAUUCUUGGAUCGUCGCAAGACGAACAUCAGCGAAGGCAUUUGCCAAAGGUGUUUUCAUCAAUCAAGAACGAAAGUCAGAGGUUCGAAGGCGAUUAGAUACCGCCCUAGUUCUGACCAUAAAUAUGUCGAUUAGCGAUCCGCCGAUGUUACUACAAUGGCUCGGCGGGCGGCUUCCGGGAAACC